rnacentral:rRNA from 1 species
UACGUAGGGCGCAAGCGUUGUCCGGAAUUAUUGGGCGUAAAGAGCUCGUAGGCGGCCUGUUGCGUCCGCUGUGAAAUCCCGGGGCUCAACCCCGGGCCUGCAGUGGAUACGGGCUGGCUAGAGGCAGGCAGGGGAGAACGGAAUUCCUGGUGUAGCGGUGAAAUGCGUAGAUAUCUGGAGGAAUACCGGUGGCGAAGGCGGCAUCCUGGACCGGCAUUGACGCUGAGGAGCG